rnacentral:rRNA from 1 species
GAUGAACGCUGGCGGCGUGCCUAAUACAUGCAAGUCGAGCGAAUGGAUUAAGAGCUUGCUCUUAUGAAGUUAGCGGCGGACGGGUGAGUAACACGUGGGUAACCUGCCCAUAAGACUGGGAUAACUCCGGGAAACCGGGGCUAAUACCGGAUAACAUUUUGAACCGCAUGGUUCGAAAUUGAAAGGCGGCUUCGGCUGUCACUUAUGGAUGGACCCGCGUCGCAUUAGCUAGUUGGUGAGGUAACGGCUCACCAAGGCAACGAUGCGUAGCCGACCGUGGAGGGUGAUCGGCCACCCUGGGACUGAGACACGGCCCAGACUCCUACGGGAGGCAGCAGUAGGGAAUCUUCCGCAAUGGACGAAAGUCUGACGGAGCAACGCCGCGUGAGUGAUGAAGGCUUUCGGGUCGUAAAACUCUGUUGUUAGGGAAGAACAAGUGCUAGUUGAAUAAGCUGGCACCGUGACGGUACCUAACCAGAAAGCCACGGCUAACUACGUGCCAGCAGCCGCAGUAA